UAUUAGGUUGGUGCAAAAGUAAUUGCAGUUUUGGCCAUUGAAGGCAACGGUCAAUUGAAAGCAAUGGCCAAAACUGCAAUUACUUUUGCACCAACCUAAUA
rfam:Pan troglodytes isolate Yerkes chimp pedigree #C0471 (Clint) chromosome 2A, whole genome shotgun sequence.